rnacentral:rRNA from 1 species
UACGAAGGGGGCAAGCGUUGUUCGGAAUAACUGGGCGUAAAGGGCGCGUAGGCGGUCUGUUGCGUCAGGUGUGAGAGCCCCGGGCUUAACCUGGGAUGUGCACUUGAUACGGGCGGACUGGAAUCCGGAAGAGGAUGGUGGAAUUCCCAGUGUAGAGGUGAAAUUCGUAGAUAUUGGGAAGAACACCGGUGGCGAAGGCGGCCAUCUGGUCCGGUAUUGACGCUGAGGCGCGAAAGCGUGGGGAGCAAACAGG